rnacentral:rRNA from 1 species
UACGUAGGGUGCAAGCGUUAAUCGGAAUUACUGGGCGUAAAGCGUGCGCAGGCGGUUUUGUAAGUCUGUCGUGAAAUCCCCGGGCUCAACCUGGGAAUUGCGAUGGAGACUGCAAGGCUAGAAUCUGGCAGAGGGGGGUAGAAUUCCACGUGUAGCAGUGAAAUGCGUAGAGAUGUGGAGGAACACCGAUGGCGAAGGCAGCCCCCCUGGGCUAACACUGACGCUCAUGCACGAAAGCGUGGGGAGCAAACAGG